GACGAACCGUGCUAACGUUGUUCGGAAUCACUGGGCUUAAAGGGCGCGUAGGCGGGCAUGCAAGUCAGGGGUGAAAGCCCACGGCUCAACCGUGGAAGUGCCUUUGAUACUGCGAGUCUUGAGGGAGGUAGGGGCGUGCGGAACUUCCGGUGGAGCGGUGAAAUGCGUAGAUAUCGGAAGGAACACCGGUGGCGAAAGCGAGGUCCUGGACCCUUUCUGACGCUGAGACGCGAAAGCCAGGGGAGCGAACGGG
rnacentral:rRNA from 1 species